rnacentral:rRNA from 1 species
CCUACGGGAGGCAGCAGUGGGGAAUCUUGCGCAAUGGGCGAAAGCCUGACGCAGCCAUGCCGCGUGAAUGAUGAAGGUCUUAGGAUUGUAAAAUUCUUUCACCGGGGAAGAUAAUGACGGUACCCGGAGAAGAAGCCCCGGCUAACUUCGUGC